GAUGGGAUUGGAAUGGAGAUGGGAAUGGGAUUGGGAUGGGAUGGGGAUGGGAUUGGAAUGGGGAUGGGAAUGGGAUUGGGAUUGGGAUGGGAUUGGAAUGGGGAUGGGAAUGGGAUUGAUAGAGGAUCAGGAUGGGAAUGGGAUUGGGAUUGGAAUUAGGAUUGGAAUGGGAUGGGAUGGGAUGGGAAUGGAAUGGAGAUGGGAAUGGGAUUGAUAGAGGAUGGGGAUGGGAAUGGGAUUGGGAUGGGAUGGAAUGGGAAUGGGAAUGGGAAUGGGAAUGGGAAUGGGAUUGGGAUUGGGAUUGGGAUGGGAUGGGGAUGGGGAUGGGAAUGGAAUGGGGAUGGGAAUGGGAUUGGGAUUAGGAUGGGAUGGGGAUGGGAUUGGAAUGGGGAUGGGAAUGAUAGGGGAGGGGGGUGGGAAUGGGAUUGGGAUUGGGAUUGGGAUUGAGAUUGGGGCUGGGACUGGGAUUGGGAUUGGGAUUGGGAUGGGAUGGGAUGGGAUGGGAAAGGAAUGAGAUGGGAUGGGGUUUAGGAAUGGGGCUGGGGUUGGGGAUGGGUUUGGGAUGAAGACCCCGCAGUCUGGGACACCCCAUACCCCGCAGACGUGGACGAGUGCCAGGAGCACGGGCCCAGGCUGUGUGGGGCGCAGCGCUGCCAGAACAUCCCGGGCUCGUACCGCUGCGUCCCCGAGUGCCCCCCCGGGUACCGGCUGGGGGACAGCGGGGAGUGUGAGGGUGAGUGGGGAUGGGGGGCGAGGGGGAGCCGGGGGGGGACCCGGCCGUGGGGUUGGGGUUCAAUGGGACCGCCCCAGUGGGGACCCCAAUGAAUGUUCUGUGGUUUUGGGGUUCAGUGGGGCCACACAGUGGGGUUGGGAUGGAGGUGGACAUCGGGGACCAUUCCAUGGGGUUGAGAUUCAAUGGGACCAUUGCAUGGGGUCGGGGUUCAAUGGGACCACUCCAUGGGGUUGGGAUUCAAUGGGACCACUCCAUGGGGUGGGAGUUCAAUGGGACCACCCCAAUGGGGUUGGGAUUCAAUGGGACCAUUCCAUGGGGUCGGGAUGGAGGUGGACCCCAAUGACCAUUCCAUGGGGUUGGGAUUCAAUGGGACCAUUCCAUGGGGUCGGGAUGGAGGUGGACCCCAAUGACCAUUCCAUGGGGUCGGGGUUCAAUGGGACCACCCCAAUGGGGUUGGGAUUCAAUGGGACCAUUCCAUGGGGUCGGGAUAGAGGUGGACCCCCGUGACCAUUCCAUGGGGUUGGGAUUCAGUGGGACCAUUCCAUGGGGUCAGGAUGGAGGUGGACCCCAACGACUGUUCCAUGGGGUUGGGAUUCA
rnacentral:lncRNA from 1 species